UAAACCUACGGGAGGCAGCAGUGGGGGAUAUUGCACAAUGGGGGGAACCCUGAUGCAGCGACGCCGCGUGGGUGAAGGAGCGUUUCGGCGCGUAAAGCCCUAUCGGCAGGGAAGAAGAUGACGGUACCUGACCAAGAAGCCCCGGCUAACUACGUGCCAGCAGCCGCGGUAAUACGUAGGGGGCAAGCGUUAUCCGGAUUUACUGGGUGUAAAGGGAGCGUAGACGGCAUAGCAAGUCUGAAGUGAAAGCCCGUGGCUC
rnacentral:rRNA from 1 species